UACGAGGGAGGCUAGCGUUGUUCGGAAUCAUUGGGCGUAAAGAGCGUGUAGGCGGUCCGGUAAGUCCGCUGUGAAAGUCGGGGGCUCAACCCUCGAAUGCCGGUGGAUACUGUCGGGCUAGAGUGCGGAAGAGGCGAGUGGAAUUCCUGGUGUAGCGGUGAAAUGCGCAGAUAUCAGGAGGAACACCUAUUGCGAAGGCAGCUCGCUGGGACGUAACUGACGCUGGAGACGCGAAAGCGUGGGGAGCAAACAGG
rnacentral:rRNA from 1 species